rnacentral:rRNA from 1 species
CAGUAGCCGCGGGAAAACGUAGGGUGCAAGCGUUAAUCGGAAUUACUGGGCGUAAAGCGUGCGCAGGCGGUUUGUUAAGACAGAUGUGAAAUCCCCGGGCUCAACCUGGGAACUGCAUUUGUGACUGGCAAGCUAGAGUAUGGCAGAGGGGGGUGGAAUUCCGCGUGUAGCAGUGAAAUGCGUAGAUAUUCGGAGGAACACCGAUGGCGAAGGCAGCCCCCUGGGCCAAUACUGACGCUCAUGCACGAAAGCGUGGGGAGCAAACAGGAUUAGAUACCCCCGUAGUCCCUGUCUCUUAUAA